rnacentral:rRNA from 1 species
UUGAACGCUGGCGGAAUGCUUUACACAUGCAAGUCGAGCGGCAGCGCGGGGGCAACCCUGGCGGCGAGCGGCGGACGGGUGAGUAAUGCAUCGGAACGUACCUAGUCGUGGGGGAUAACUAUCCGAAAGGAUAGCUAAUACCGCAUACGUCCUGAGGGAGAAAGCAGGGGAUCGCAAGACCUUGCGCGAUUAGAGUGGCCGAUGUCAGAUUAGCUAGUUGGUGGGGUAAAGGCCUACCAAGGCGACGAUCUGUAGCGGGUCUGAGAGGAUGAUCCGCCACACUGGGACUGAGACACGGCCCAGACUCCUACGGGAGGCAGCAGUGGGGAAUUUUGGACAAUGGGCGAAAGCCUGAUCCAGCCAUGCCGCGUGCGGGAAGAAGGCCUUCGGGUUGUAAACCGCUUUCAGCCGGAAAGAAAUCGCCACUUCUAAUACGAGUGGUGGAUGACGGUACCGGAAGAAGAAGCACCGGCUAACUACGU